rnacentral:rRNA from 1 species
UACAGAGGGUGCGAGCGUUAAUCGGAGUUACUGGGCGUAAAGGGCGCGUAGGCGGUUUUAAAAGAUUGAUGUGAAAGCCCUGGGCUUAACCUAGGAAGAGCAUCAGUGACUGUAGAACUGGAGUAUAUGAGAGGGUGGCGGAAUUUCCGGUGUAGCGGUGAAAUGCGUAGAGAUCGGAAGGAACGUCGAUGGCGAAGGCAGCCACCUGGCAUAAUACUGACGCUGAGGCGCGAAAGCGUGGGUAGCGAACAGG